CUUUGGCUGUCCAUAACUUUGAUUGUUGCAGUAUUAUGCCCAAUUUGCCACAGUUUGUUACUUUUAAGGAAACAAGUAACAAGUUGGCUGCUAUAGCAUUCGUCUGGUUGUUCGGUAGAAACCCAAUUGCAAACCUAUUAAACAUUUCCGUUCGACAAACGACCGAACAACCAGGCCACCCCAGAGAGGAAUGUGGCUCUAAUUAACAUCCGCAUAGUUAUUCACAGUACCUUCAUUGAUAACCACACGAACACAUUGUGUAUUCCCUGGGUGGGCGCCGUUCGAUAUGUGAACACGUGGCGGUGGCCACCUUUCCAAUACAAACGCACCUGCGGUGUUUGGUCGUUGAGUGUGUGGAACCCAAAUCGGACACUCGACCACGCGAACACCGCAGAGACCUCCAUACUUCCCCCCCCUCCCCCCCCUUUGUGGGAAAACAUACAAACGGCACAGCGUUCGGUGAAAAGAUACACACUAACGAGGGGAAUCAUCCGAACCCAGGCAGAGCCCAUUGUAUUGACUUAUUUCGGGUUUUUCACCUCACGAACGGAGACCGACCGCAAGGCCAAAACAUAUGGAACUCCUUUCGGCUACCACCUCGUGUGCGAUCGGUAAAACAAAGACCUCCAAAAAAAUUCACGAACCCCUAAACCGAUCUGUGUGAUUUUUGAGGUAUGUUGCUCACCCAGAUCAGGGCUAUCAGGGGAUAUUUAAUAAAUGGGUGUAAGUCAUAGUCUUGGGGUACAUCCAGAAAUUGGGGAAAAAUGUGUGUUUCAAAUGUACAGUUAAUUAUGUUAUCUCACAGGCUAAGGGGAGGAAAUGUGUGGGCUGUAACCAGUUAGUGAUUGGAGAAUGCCUAAUUUUCUGUGGG